rnacentral:lncRNA from 1 species
CCGAGCUCCGCUGGUUUAAAAAAAAAAUUGUUGUGGGAGUUUAAAGGCGAAGAAUCGAGCCGAGGGGAGGCGGAGGAGAACCCAAAGACAGGAAUCAUUCGACAAAUGGAGAACUUUGAGAAUUCUCAUCAGGAGAGUAAAAACAGACUGUCUAAGGACAAUACCACCAACUGUGGGAAACAGACAAAUAAUAGUCAGAUCCGUGAAACUGAUAGACCCUCCAAGCGGCUUCGAAGGAAAAGGAAGCUGCUUUUAGAUUCUGAAGAAGAAGAAGAAAAUGCAGACGAGGAGGAGGAAAAGAAUAAAUUGAAUCCAAAGAACCGCAAGAGUGCAAAAUCAGCGAAGCAAGGUAAGGGUGCAAAAUUGAUUAUUAACUGUUUCAUGGCAAAACGCUGCUAUAAAUUCAGUAC